UAUUAAUUUCAGGAAGAGCUUGAAGAGAAUAAACUUGCGAUUAAUGAAGGUUCCUUUCUUCCAGACAUGGUUGGAAAUCUUGUGAUGAAAGCAACCUCAAAUAAAUCCAUGGAUUCUCUUCCAACAGAUUUGUCAGAUAAUUCAGAGUCAGGGGAUAAUAUGCUUCACAGAAGAAAACCAGGGGUUCAUCGGUCCCUUCCAACUCUAGGAUCACAGGGUAGACCAGGCAUAUUUAGGAAA